rnacentral:lncRNA from 1 species
CAAUCACCUGAACUUCAGCUUCAGUGGCUCUGACAUUCUGUCUGGAUUCCAUGGGCACUUGUACAUGCAUACAUACAAGCAAGGGGUUCACACAUAUACACAUAAAAUCAAUAAGUAAGCCCACAUAUAAUACACACCCUUUAAGGGCUGGAAAGGCAGCCGUUAAAGAGCAUGUCCUGCUUUUCCAAAGGACCCAAGUUUGGUUCCCAGAUCCCACAUUGGGACAGCUCACAACUUCCUGUAACUCCAGCUCCAAGGGAUCUCACACAUUUCUGGAUUUCAUGGACACCUGCACAGGAGCGUGCGCACGCAGACACACAAAUAUGAGAAUAAAAUACUUAUUUUCAAAAACUGGGAAAAAUUCUCUUUAAAAAGUAACAAGGGUUGGGGAUUUAGCUCAGUGGUAGAGCGCUUGCCUACCAAGCGCAAGGCCCUGGGUUCAGUUCCCAGCUCCGAAAAAAAAAAGAAAAAA